rnacentral:rRNA from 1 species
UUCGCAAUGCCCGAAAGGGUGACGAAGCGACGCCGCGUGUGGGAAGAAGGCCUUCGGGUUGUAAACCACUGUCGGGAGUUGAGAAAUGCAAGAAUGUUAAUAGCGUUUUUGCUUGACUAAGGCUCCGGAGGAAGCCACGGCUAACUCUGUGCCAGCAGCCGCGGUAAUACAGAGGCGGCAAGCGUUGUUCGGAAUUAUUGGGCGUAAAGAGCACGUAGGCGGCUAUAUAAGUCGGUUGUGAAAGCCUUCCGCUCAACGGGAGAACAGCAUCCGAUACUGUGUGGCUUGAGUGCGGGAGGGGAGAGCGGAACUUCUGGUGGAGCGGUGAAAUGCGUAGAUAUCAGAAGGAACGCCGGCGGCGAAAGCGGCUCUCUGGCCCAUAACUGACGCUGAGUGUGCGAAAGCUAGGGGAGCAAACGGGAUUAGAUACCCCGGUAGUCCUAGCCGUAAAC